ACAGGGAGACCUAGUGUAAUUACCAAUAGAUAAGUAAAGUUGGUAAUUCGCAAGAAUCCUUAGGUCGUGAAGGGAGCAAGAGAAAACUUUCAAACUGUAAUGGGCGAGGGAACUAGGGCUAUUAGCUCAGGUGGUUAGAGCGCACCCCUGAUAAGGGUGAGGUCCCUGGUUCAAGUCCAGGAUGGCCCACCUAAAAGACACAGGCAUCCUGCCUGUGCCACAGACACAGGAAAAAGUUUUAGCAUUGUCUCUUGUAAAAAAGAGCAAGAGAUAAUGCUGGAAUAGGUUCCAGCAAGAACCUUGAAAACUGCAUAGAACUAGAAAGAAAAAGUCAGGUAGAAAAUCCUACAA
rnacentral:tRNA from 1 species